UGAGGAAUAUUGGUCAAUGGGCGCGAGCCUGAACCAGCCAAGUAGCGUGAAGGAUGACUGCCCUACGGGUUGUAAACUUCUUUUAUAAAGGAAUAAAGUGAGGCACGUGUGCCUUUUUGUAUGUACUUUAUGAAUAAGGAUCGGCUAACUCCGUGCCAGCAGCCGCGGUAAUACGGAGGAUCCGAGCGUUAUCCGGAUUUAUUGGGUUUAAAGGGUGCGUAGGCGGACGCUUAAGUCAGCGGUAAAAUUGCGGGGCUCAACCUCGUCGAGCCGUUGAAACUGGGUGCCUUGAGUGGGCGAGAAGUACGCGGAAUGCGUGGUGUAGCGGUGAAAUGCAUAGAUAUCACGCAGAACUCCGAUUGCGAAGGCAGCGUACCGGCGCCCAACUGACGCUGAAGCACGAAGGCGUGGGUAUCGAACAGG
rnacentral:rRNA from 1 species